GGGUAAUAACUGGUGCCACUUACGAUAUAAGGUCACUUGACAUUCUUAAUACCCUGUCUUGGGAAACACUUGACAAUAGAAGAAAUAAGUCCAAGGCUGUGUUUAUGUACAAAGUGCUAAAUGACCACGCUGCCCCGGGUCUAAAAGAAUCUCUUCACAAAAGGAAUGUGACACAAAAUACCUAUAAUCUCAGAAAUAGCGAAAAUGAUUUAACUCUUCCAAAACCUAGAACAGAAUAUCUAAGAAGAAGCUUUAAGUACAGUGGCGCUAUGUUAUGGAAUGACCUUUCGUCUGCAGCUAAAUCGGCGGAUACUCUCGGCUGCUUCGAAAAAGAGAUAGGUGCAAGCUAGAGGAUGAUUCUGUGCUAUAUGUGUGCU